rnacentral:rRNA from 1 species
AUUGAACGCUGGCGGAAUGCUUUACACAUGCAAGUCGAACGGUAACAGGUUAAGCUGACGAGUGGCGAACGGGUGAGUAAUAUAUCGGAACGUGCCCAGUCGUGGGGGAUAACGUAGCGAAAGCUACGCUAAUACCGCAUACGAUCUACGGAUGAAAGCGGGGGAUCGCAAGACCUCGCGCGAUUGGAGCGGCCGAUAUCAGAUUAGGUUGUUGGUGAGGUAAAAGCUCACCAAGCCUGCGAUCUGUAGCUGGUCUGAGAGGACGACCAGCCACACUGGAACUGAGACACGGUCCAGACUCCUACGGGAGGCAGCAGUGGGGAAUUUUGGACAAUGGACGCAAGUCUGAUCCAGCAAUGCCGCGUGCAGGACGAAGGCCUUCGGGUUGUAAACCGCUUUUGUACGGAACGAAACGGUGAGCUCUAAUACAGUUUGCUAAUGACGGUACCGUAAGAAUAAGCACCGGCUAACUACGUGCCAGCCGCCGCGGUAA